GACGAACGCUGGCGGCGUGCCUAACACAUGCAAGUCGAGCGGAGAUUGCAGCAAUGUAAUCUUAGCGGCGGACGGGUGAGUAACGCGUGGGUAACCUGCCUUUUACAGGGGGAUAACACAGGGAAACUUGUGCUAAUACCGCAUAACAUCAUUGGGUGGCAUCACUUGAUGAUCAAAGGAGCAAUCCGGUAGAAGAUGGACCCGCGUCCGAUUAGCUAGUUGGCGGUGUAACGGACCACCAAGGCGACGAUCGGUAGCCGAACUGAGAGGUUGAUCGGCCACAUUGGGACUGAGACACGGCCCAGACUCCUACGGGAGGCAGCAGUGGGGAAUAUUGCGCAAUGGGGGAAACCCUGACGCAGCAACGCCGCGUGAAGGAUGAAGGUCUUCGGAUUGUAAACUUCUUUAGCCAGGGACGAAGAAAUGACGGUACCUGGAGAAUAAGCCACGGCUAACUACGUGCCAGCCGCCGCAGUAAUAC
rnacentral:rRNA from 1 species